CGUACGAAACGGCAAAAUCAUUGAAAAAUGAUGACGCAAAGCUUUAGGGACUAAAGUUAUAGAUAAUAACUAUGUCAGCCAGCUUCCGAA
rnacentral:ncRNA from 1 species